rnacentral:rRNA from 1 species
UAACGCUGGCGGCGUGCCUAAUACAUGCAAGUCGAGCGAACAGACGAGGAGCUUGCUCCUCUGACGUUAGCGGCGGACGGGUGAGUAACACGUGGAUAACCUACCUAUAAGACUGGGAUAACUUCGGGAAACCGGAGCUAAUACCGGAUAAUAUAUUGAACCGCAUGGUUCAAUAGUGAAAGACGGUUUUGCUGUCACUUAUAGAUGGAUCCGCGCCGCAUUAGCUAGUUGGUAAGGUAACGGCUUACCAAGGCAACGAUGCGUAGCCGACCUGAGAGGGUGAUCGGCCACACUGGAACUGAGACACGGUCCAGACUCCUACGGGAGGCAGCAGUAGGGAAUCUUCCGCAAUGGGCGAAAGCCUGACGGAGCAACGCCGCGUGAGUGAUGAAGGUCUUCGGAUCGUAAAACUCUGUUAUUAGGGAAGAACAAAUGUGUAAGUAACUAUGCACGUCUUGACGGUACCUAACA